rnacentral:lncRNA from 10 species
AUUCAUCAUUAGAAAUGAAGCUUCCGGCUUUAAGAGGAGAAGACAAAUUAUAUGACACAAUAUAUUUACUUUUUAUUUUUAAAGUCUGAAAUAUUUUAUAACAAAUUAAAAACAUUAAAGAACUUUCCCAGAAAAACAAAACAACAGCAAAAGAAUGCAAGAGAAAAAGUGGAGAUGCUGAAUAAAGACAAACGAUGCUUUCUUCUAUAAAGAGAGGAGUAAAUGAGGCAGUAGCUGGAAAUGUACAGAAUUUUAAAUGAGAACUAUUACCACAUAUUUCUACCUAAAAUGAAUUAUCCUGCUUGGGGGUGGUGUAGAGAUUCAUAAUGCAGGAAAUAAUGUUUAACUUCUGGAGUUAAAUUCUUGAAAAAGUCAUUGGGGAUGGAAUCUAGUGUAAGUGGAGGGGUUGGCCUUGAAUCAGACAGUGAAGAGAAGGUAGAUUAUGGAUAAAGAUAAAACUAUGUGAAGAGAUAUGGUGGUGGAAAAAUAGAAAAGCUAUCUUUGGUUGCUUCUCUGUUCUUGGUGAAAUGAGAAAAAAAGAAUCCUUAAUUGAGAGAAGGGGUCAGAAGGAGUUGAGUCUUAGUUCCAGCUUCCCAGGGUAUUCGGGCUCAAGGCCAUGUCUUCUUUACUGAGGAAGUUACUGAGAUAUGCACAGGAGCCUAUAACCCAUAAUCUCCCAUAACUAUUCCCUUUAAACCUACCAGUCCUUCCCAAAUCCUUUUGUUACAAUUUAUAAGUUAAAAUAAUUGCCAUGACCAACAUCAUGAAAGUUUCUCCUUAUGUUUUCUUCUAUAAGUUUUACAGUCUCAGGUAAUUAUGUUUAAAUGUGUAGUUCAUUUUGAGUUGCUUUUUGUGUGUAGUGUAAGAUACAGGCCCAGUUUUAUUCUUUUGCAUGUGAAUAUUCAGUUUUCUCAGUACCAUGUAUUGAAGAAACCGUCUUUUCCCCAUUACAUAUUCUUCGCAUGUUUGUUGAAGGCCAGUUGACUGUAUAAGUGUCAGUUGAUUUCUGGGCCCUCUAUUCUCUUCCAGUCGCCUAUAUGUCUGUCUUUAUGCCAGUAGCACACAGUUUUGAUUACUCUAUCUUUAUAAUACAUUUUGAAAUUAGAAAAUGUGAUGCCCCUAGCUUUGUUUUUCUUGCUCACAGUUUUGAUUACUCUAUCUUUAUAAUACAUUUUGAAAUUAGAAAAUGUGAUGCCCCUAGCAUUGUUUUUCUUGCUCAUUGUUUUGACUAUUCUGGGUCCUUUGUGGUUUUAUAUGAAUUUUAAGAUUGUUUUUUCUAUUUCUGUCAAGAGUGCCAUUAGGAUUUUGAUAGGGAUUGUAUAUAAUCUAUAAAUUGCUUUGAAUAGUAUGGAUAUUUUAAUAUUAUUAUGUCUUCCAAUUCACGAACAUAGGAUAUCUUUCCACUGAUUUGUGUCUUCUUUAAUUUCUU